CUUGUGGAGAGUAUAUAAAGAUGUGAGUAGUAUUUAAGUUUACUUAGUACAAAAACAUACUCAAUGAAGCAAGAA
rnacentral:sRNA from 12 species